rnacentral:tRNA from 1 species
GAGAAAAUAGCACUAUGGAAGUGUGUUUGGUUUGAAACCAUUUUAUGGGGGUUCGAUUCCUUCUUUUCUUG